GAGUUUGAUCUUGGCUCAGAUUGAACGCUGGCGGCAUGCCUUACACAUGCAAGUCGAACGGCAGCAUGAUCUAGCUUGCUAGAUUGAUGGCGAGUGGCGAACGGGUGAGUAAUACAUCGGAACGUGCCCUGUAGUGGGGGAUAACUAGUCGAAAGAUUAGCUAAUACCGCAUACGACCUGAGGGUGAAAGUGGGGGACCGCAAGGCCUCAUGCUAUAGGAGCGGCCGAUGUCUGAUUAGCUAGUUGGUGGGGCAAAGGCCCACCAAGGCGACGAUCAGUAGCUGGUCUGAGAGGACGAUCAGCCACACUGGGACUGAGACACGGCCCAGACUCCUACGGGAGGCAGCAGUGGGGAAUUUUGGACAAUGGCGAAAGCCUGAUCCAGCAAUGCCGCGUGUGUGAAGAAGGCCUCGGUUGUAAGU
rnacentral:rRNA from 1 species